rnacentral:rRNA from 1 species
UACGGGAGGCAGCAGUGGGGAAUAUUGCACAAUGGGCGAAAGCCUGAUGCAGCUAUGCCGCGUGUAUGAAGAAGGCCUUAGGGUUGUAAAGUACUUUCAUCGGGGAGGAAAAAACAAAACUAAUAAUUUUAUUUCUUGACGUUACCCGAAAAAGAAGCACCGGCUAACUCCGUGCCAGCAGCCGCGGUAAUACGGAGGGUGCUAGCGUUAAUCAGAAUUACUGGGCGUAAAGAGCACGUAGGUGGUUUUUUUAAGUCAGAUGUGAAAUCCCUGGGCUUAACCUGGAACUGCAUUUUGAAACUGAAAUACUAGAGUAUCGUAGAGGGAGGUAGAAUUCUAGGUGUAGCGGUGAAAUGCGUAGAUAUCUGGAGGAAUACCUGUGGCGAAAGCGGCCUCCUAAACGAAUACUGACACUGAGGGUGCGAAAGCGUGGGGAGCGAAACAGGGAUUAGGAU